rnacentral:rRNA from 1 species
UGGGGAAUUUUGGACAAUGGGCGAAAGCCUGAUCCAGCCAUGCCGCGUGCAGGAUGAAGGCCUUCGGGUUGUAAACUGCUUUUGUACGGAACGAAAAGCCUCUUUCUAAUAAAGAGAGGUCAUGACGGUACCGUAAGAAUAAGCACCGGCUAACUACGUGCCAGCAGCCGCGGUAAUACGUAGGGUGCAAGCGUUAAUCGGAAUUACUGGGCGUAAAGCGUGCGCAGGCGGUUUUGUAAGACAGAGGUGAAAUCCCCGGGCUCAACCUGGGAACUGCCUUUGUGACUGCAAGGCUGGAGUGCGGCAGAGGGGGAUGGAAUUCCGCGUGUAGCAGUGAAAUGCGUAGAUAUGCGGAGGAACACCGAUGGCGAAGGCAAUCCCCUGGGCCUGCACUGACGCUCAUGCACGAAAGCGUGGGGAGCAAACAGGAUUAGAUACCCUGGUAGUCCACGCCCUAAACGAUGUCAACUGGUUGUUGGGUCUUCACUGACUCAGUAACGAAGCUAACGCGUGAAGUUGACCGCCUGGGGAGUACGGCCGCAAGGUUGAAACUCAAAUGAAUUGACGGGGUCAUAGCUGUUUCC